CGUCAGGGCCCGCGGAAUGUUGACAGGCCAACCCCGCCAGGGCCGGAAGGCAGCAACGGUAACUUGCUCGCAUCUGCCGCGGUCACCCUGGCACUU
rnacentral:SRP_RNA from 1 species